CCUAACUCAAUCAUCUCCCUCCUACGCUUUCAUUUCCCCUCCUCCCGCCGACGAAACACACAUUACACACAUACCCUCUCAUCUCCGGUGACGGUGAUUGUAACCCCCACUGUCUCUGACCACCAUUAAUGGCGAAGUGGGUACCGCCGGAACACAGACACACACACACACACAUUCACUCUCUUUCUCCGACAACGGCUAUUGUGCCCUUCACCAUCUCCGAUCACACCAUAGUCUCCGACAACGAUAAUAUAUAUUUAAUGUGAUUGUAAGUGGUACCGUUUCCGACAGCUAUCUCCAAGAAACCACCAUAUCUAUACAUCAGCCAAAGUUUUUGCUCGGUCUGUUUGAACUUAGCUUUGACGCAAGGCUUGAAAUUAGUCAGAGUGCGCUUCGAGUACUCUUUAAUACGUUAUAGAACUCUAAUCAUCACUUCUCUUUAACAUUGUCGGAAAGGGUGUUUGAAUCUGUUUUAUUUCCCAUAUCUGAUCAUGUUCAACAUUCUAUUGAUCCUUCUAGUCUUCACCCUAAAAGGAGGGUUUCUGUAACUUUGCAGGUCUCUCUUGGUGAUGAAGUAAACAACCAGUUUUCACCUAUCCUAAUCGUUUACCCCUUUGACCUGAACCUAUUUCAAAUGGGUAAAGUUUCAAAAAAAUUAGCUUAGAAGGGGAAUUAUGUCAAAUAGGCUGGUCUAGUCAAAUAGGUUAAAAGUCGCCCAAAGUGUUCUCAAAUCUCAGUUGCUCGGUUUGUUAGUUCCAUAUUCGCUGGUUGACUUUGUGGAAAUCCAUUAGGAACAAUACGUUCAUCAACAGUAGAUCUUAAGACACUUGGUACUUCAAACAUCAGCAACAAUGGUUUAUGGUCUGAAAUAAUCCCUCGGGUUUCUGUAAACUGAAGAUACUGGAGCAGUUGGAUGUUUCUCACAAUUGACUAACCAGAACUUUAGCAUCACUUGUGGGGCUUCAUGUGUUAAACUGUUAAUUGAACUAAAAUUUUCGUACAAGCUCUUCAUUGGUCAAAUACAUUGCUGAAGUUUCUCAACUCAUCUUUCUAUUCAUUUUUUGGGAACUCGAGUCUUUGUGUGGAUUGUAUCCAGAAUAAUUGUGAUGCUGCCAGAGAUUUGAAAGUAUUAAGGGAACACAAACCCUUUUCUUCUUUUAUAGAUAGUUAGAGUACCAAAUAGUUCUAUGGUAAAUUUAGUCUAGAUAUCACCGAUGAUUUUAAAUUUUUUUUAUAUGUAGUUCUUCCUUUCAUUAUACAGCCAUGUUUCUCCGGCAAGGAUCUUCCCAGCCACAGGAGCAUUAGCAAUCUGAGAUUCCGAGUACAAGGUAAA